rnacentral:rRNA from 1 species
CCUACGGGUGGCUGCAGUCGAGAAUCAUUCACAAUGGGGGAAACCCUGAUGGUGCGACGCCGCGUGGGGGAAUAAAGGUCUUCGAAUUUUAAACCCCUGUCAUGUGGGCGCAAAUUAAAAAAAUGGUACCACAAGAGGAGGAGACGGCUAACUCUGUCCCAGCAGCCCCGGUAAUACAGAGUUCUAAGGCGUUGUUCGGAAUCACUGGGCGUAAAGCGUGCGUAGGCUGUUUCUUAAGGCGUGUGUGAAAGGCGCGGGCUCAACCCGCGGACGGCACAUGAUACUGCGAGACUAGAGUAAUGGAGGGGGAACCGGAAUUCUCGGUGUAGCAGUGAAAUGCGUAGAUAUCGAGAGGAACACUCGUGGCGAAGGCGGGUUCCUGGACAUUAACUGACGCUGAGGCACGAAGGCCAGGGGAGCGAAAGGGAUUAGAUACCCGGGUAGUC